rnacentral:lncRNA from 1 species
UUUCAGCUGCCUUGGGGGGAUCAUCUUGUCAGUUGUGUGGCUUUCCAAUUUUAUGACUGAGAUCAAGAGUGAUUCCUUAAAGGCACAUGGGAAACAAUGAAAUGUGGGGCAGUGACUGUGAGCUCCGUUUGGUGGCCACUCCCGGAGGUGAUCAGGAACGGUACAGAAGGACAAGCACGCCACGAAGCCCACAGCUCCGUCUGAAAAGUGACUGCCUUGACAUUUACCCAGGCUCAGCCACUCGUUUAGGCCUCUCACUGACUCUAGGACUCAUUCUUUUGACUAAACUAGCUGGCCAGAAAUCCCUAGGACUGCAUCUGCCUCCCCAGUACUGGGAUUACUAAUGGAUGCUGCUGCUGGACCCUACUGUUUCACAUGGGUGCUGGAGAAUCUGAAUUCAGCUCCUUAUACUUAUUUGGCAGGUACAUACUUUCUUGACUGGGCCAUCUCUCCAGCCCCAAUUU